rnacentral:rRNA from 1 species
UACAGAGGUCUCAAGCGUUGUUCGGAUUCAUUGGGCGUAAAGGGUGCGUAGGCGGCGCGGUAAGUCGGGUGUGAAAUCUCGGAGCUUAACUCCGAAACUGCAUUCGAUACUGCCGUGCUCGAGGACUGGAGAGGAGACUGGAAUUUACGGUGUAGCGGUGAAAUGCGUAGAUAUCGUAAGGAAGACCGGUGGCGAAGGCGGGUCUCUGGACAGUUCCUGACGCUGAGGCACGAAGGCCAGGGGAGCAAACGGG